UGAACAUCUCCAGGUGGCAGCUGCUCUGUCUUGACCCCCUCUGGACCAUCCAUUCAAUUAUCACUGCACCAUAUACACAAUUGUCAAGUGCUCAAUAAUUGUUUGUUGAACAGACUGAGAAUAGUUGGAACAGGUUCUACUUUUACUUUCUGUUGUGGCAGAUGGGGAAGGCUCACUUCAGGAUCUCAGACUAUGGAAGCA
rnacentral:lncRNA from 1 species